CAUCUAAAGCUAAAUAUUGGCCGGAGACCGAUAGCGCACAAGUAGAGUGAUCGAAAGAUGAAAAGCACUUUGAAAAGAGAGUUAAAAAGCACGUGAAAUUGUUGAAAGGGAAGCGUUUGCGACCAGACUCGCCUCUGGGGUUCAGCCGGCCUUCGGGCCCGGUGUACUUCCCCAGGGGCGGGCCAGCGUCGGUUUGGGCGGCCGGUCAAAGGCCCUCGGAAUGUAACGCCUCUCGGGGCGUCUUAUAGCCGAGGGUGCCAUGCGGCCUGCCCGGACCGAGGAACGCGCUUCGGCUCGGACGCUGGCUUAAUGGUCGUAAACGACC
rnacentral:rRNA from 1 species